rnacentral:rRNA from 1 species
CCUACGGGAGGCAGCAGUGGGGAAUAUUGGACAAUGGGCGCAAGCCUGAUCCAGCCAUGCCGCGUGAGUGAUGAAGGCCUUCGGGUUGUAAAGCUCUUUUGGCGGGGACGAUGAUGACGGUACCCGCAGAAUAAGCCCCGGCAAACUUCGUGCCAGCAGCCGCGGUAAGACGAAGGGGGCAAGCGUUGUUCGGAAUUACUGGGCGUAAAGGGCGCGUAGGCGGUCCUUUUAGUCGGACGUGAAAGCCCCGGGCUCAACCUGGGAGGUGCGUUCGAUACUGGGGGACUUGAGAGUGGGAGAGGUUGGUGGAAUUCCCAGUGUAGAGGUGAAAUUCGUAGAUAUUGGGAAGAACACCGGUGGCGAAGGCGGCCAACUGGACCAUUUCUGACGCUGAGGCGCGAAAGCGUGGGGAGCAAACAGGAUUAGAUACCCUGGUAGUC